rnacentral:rRNA from 1 species
GUAGGUGGCAAGCGUUGUCCGGAAUUAUUGGGCGUAAAGCGCGCGCAGGCGGUUCUUUAAGUCUGAUGUGAAAGCCCACGGCUCAACCGUGGAGGGUCAUUGGAAACUGGAGAACUUGAGUACAGAAGAGGAAAGCGGAAUUCCACGUGUAGCGGUGAAAUGCGUAGAGAUGUGGAGGAACACCAGUGGCGAAGGCGGCUUUCUGGUCUGUAACUGACGCUGGAGGCGACGAAAGCGGUGGGGAGACAAACGAGGGAUUAGACUACCCGUGGUAGUCCACGCCGUAAACGAUGAGUGCUAAGUGGUUAGGGGGUUUCCCGCCCCUUAGUGCUGCAGCUAACGCAUUAAGCACUCCGCCGUGGGGAGUACGGCCGCAAGGCUAG